rnacentral:tRNA from 1 species
AACAGUAGCUCAGUCGGUUAGAGCAGGGGACUCAUAAUCCCUUGGUCGCAGGUUCAAGUCCUGCCUGUUCC